GAAGUGGAGGGUGGGAUGGAUGCUGGAAGAAGAGUGAAGGGAUCGGAUAAAGGUCCUCUGACUGAAAUGCUCACCAGAUCAGCAAAGUGAACCCUCGGAAACAUCUGCCACCUUUCUCCAGCAGAGGGCGCCCUGGGUCUCCUGAGCUGAAGCCACCUGCACACCUGAGGCUGAUCAUCCCAUCAGGAGACCAACUAUAUAAGCAGCAGCCUGACUUCCCUUCAGUGCCAGAGUGUUGAAUAAGUCACGGAAGAUCCUGACUGUAAACUGGAGCUCUGGUGGAGCUCAUGUUUGGAAACCAGCCUGCCUGCUCUGAUAAGCCAAACCUGAAGAUCUACCGUCUGCAUCUGUCUGCCAGUUCUCAGGAGAGAACUUGGAGAUCUACUCAAGGUCUUAACCUCACAAGUCUGAAGCCAAGCUGUGCUGCUGCUAAGCUCUCUGCUGAAUCCUCAGUCUGGAUCCAACCAGUACCCUCCCUCAGACGCUCAGCCUGAACCACUGAACAGUAAAACCCCGUGUGACCAGCCCCUGAUCUGUUUCCUGCAUCUGAUCCCUGCCUGUGGUUUCUCAAAUAAACUGUUAACUUUUUCCUCUGUCUCCUUGGUGUUCUACAUUUGGGCUAGAAUCUAGUACCAAUCAUGACAGUCUCCUUCUCCUAGCUCCCUUCUUGAUUCCUCUGUCCACACCUGCUCCCAAUCUGCUGAUUAGUCUGGCCUUUGUUCAGUCUCCCAUUUAUACA